GACGAACCGUGCAAACGUUAUUCGGAAUCAUUGGGCUUAAAGAGCGCGUAGGCGGCGCGGUAAGUCGGGUGUGAAAUCUCGGAGCUUAACUCCGAAACUGCAUUCGAUACUGCCGUGCUUGAGGACUGGAGAGGAGACUGGAAUUUACGGUGUAGCGGUGAAAUGCGUAGAUAUCGUAAGGAAGACCAGUGGCGAAGGCGGGUCUCUGGACAGUUCCUGACGCUGAGGCACGAAGGCCAGGGGAGCAAACGGG
rnacentral:rRNA from 1 species